ACGAACGCUGGCGGCACGCUUAACACAUGCAAGUCGAACGAGAGAAGAGGAGCUUGCUUUUCUGAUCUAGUGGCGGAUGGGUGAGUAACACGUGAGCAAUCUGCCUUUCAGAGGGGGAUACCGAUUGGAAACGAUCGUUAAUACCGCAUAACAUAAUUGAACCGCAUGAUUUGAUUAUCAAAGAUUUAUCGCUGAAAGAUGAGCUCGCGUCUGAUUAGCUAGUUGGUAAGGUAACGGCUUACCAAGGCGACGAUCAGUAGCCGGACUGAGAGGUUGAUCGGCCACAUUGGGACUGAGACACGGCCCAGACUCCUACGGGAGGCAGCAGUGGGGAAUAUUGCACAAUGGAGGAAACUCUGAUGCAGCGAUGCCGCGUGAGGGAAGAAGGUUUUAGGAUUGUAAACCUCUGUCUUCAGGGACGAAAAAAGACGGUACCUGAGGAGGAAGCUCCGGCUAACUACGUGCCAGCAGCCGCGGUAAUACGUAGGGAGCGAGCGUUGUCCGGAAUUACUGGGUGUAAAGGGAGCGUAGGCGGGAUCGCAAGUCAGAUGUGAAAACUAUGGGCUUAACCCAUAAACUGCAUUUGAAACUGUGGUUCUUGAGUGAAGUAGAGGUAAGCGGAAUUCCUAGUGUAGCGGUGAAAUGCGUAGAUAUUAGGAGGAACAUCAGUGGCGAAGGCGGCUUACUGGGCUUUAACUGACGCUGAGGCUCGAAAGCGUGGGGAGCAAACAGGAUUAGAUACCCUGGUAGUCCACGCCGUAAACGAUGAUUACUAGGUGUGGGGGGACUGACCCCUUCCGUGCCGCAGCAAACGCAAUAAGUAAUCCACCUGGGGAGUACGACCGCAAGGUUGAAACUCAAAGGAAUUGACGGGGGCCCGCACAAGCAGUGGAGUAUGUGGAUUAAUUCGAAGCAACGCGAAGAACCUUACCAGGUCUUGACAUCGUAUGCAUAGCUCAGAGAUGAGUGAAAUCUCUUCGGAGACAUAUAGACAGGUGGUGCAUGGUUGUCGUCAGCUCGUGUCGUGAGAUGUUGGGUUAAGUCCCGCAACGAGCGCAACCCUUACUGUUAGUUGCUACGCAAGAGCACUCUAGCAGGACUGCCGUUGACAAAACGGAGGAAGGUGGGGAUGACGUCAAAUCAUCAUGCCCCUUAUGACCUGGGCCUCACACGUACUACAAUGGCUGUCAACAGAGGGAUGCAAAGCCGCGAGGUGGAGCGAACCCCUAAAAGCAGUCUUAGUUCGGAUUGUAGGCUGCAACCCGCCUACAUGAAGUCGGAAUUGCUAGUAAUCGCAGAUCAGCAUGCUGCGGUGAAUACGUUCCCGGGCCUUGUACACACCGCCCGUCACGCCAUGGGAGUCGGUAACACCCGAAGCCUGUAGUCUAACCGCAAGGAGGACGCAGUCGAAGGUGGGAUUGAUGACUGGGGUG
rnacentral:rRNA from 1 species